rnacentral:rRNA from 1 species
AGAGUUUGAUCCUGCUCAGGAUGAACGCGGCGGCGCCUAUACAUGCAAGUGGAAUGGAUUAAGAGCUUGCUCUUAUGAAGUUAGCGGCGGACGGGUGAGUAACACGUGGGUAACCUGCCCAUAAGACUGGGAUAACUCCGGGAAACCGGGGCUAAUACCGGAUAACAUUUUGAACGCAUGGUUCGAAAUUGAAAGGCGGCUUCGGCUGUCACUUAUGGAUGGACCCGCGUCGCAUUAGCUAGUUGGUGAGGUAACGGCUCACCAAGGCAACGAUGCGUAGCCGACCUGAGAGGGUGAUCGGCCACACUGGGACUGAGACACGGCCCAGACUCCUACGGGAGGCAGCAGUAGGGAAUCUUCCGCAAUGGACGAAAGUCUGACGGAGCAACGCCGCGUGAGUGAUGAAGGCUUUCGGGUCGUAAAACUCUGUUGUUAGGGAAGAACAAGUGCUAGUUGAAUAAGCUGGCACCUUGACGGUACCUAACCAGAAAGCCACGGCUAACUACGUGCCAGCAGCCGCGGUAAUACGUAGGUGGCAAGCGUUAUCCGGAAUUAUUGGGCGUAAAGCGCGCGCAGGUGGUUUCUUAAGUCUGAUGUGAAAGCCCACGGCUCAACCGUGGAGGGUCAUUGGAAACUGGGAGACUUGAGUGCAGAAGAGGAAAGUGGAAUUCCAUGUGUAGCGGAAAUGCGUAGAGAUAUGGAGGAACACCAGGCGAAGGCGACUUCGUCUGUAACAC